AUAUCAAUAAGCGGAGGAAAAGAAACUAACAAGGAUUCCCCUAGUAACGGCGAGUGAAGCGGGAACAGCUCAAAUUUGAAAUCUGGCGUGUGUCAUGCACGUCCGAGUUGUAGUUUAGAGAUGUGGCUGCUGCAGGGUGUGGUCCGGGUCCAAGUCCGCUGGAACGCGGCGCCGGUGAGGGUGAUAGCCCCGUGGGACUCGUGGCCGCUCCCGUCAUGGCACUGCAUCGACGAGUCGAGUUGUUUGGGAAUGCAGCUCAAAGUGGGUGGUAAACUUCAUCCAAAGCUAAAUAUUGGCAAGAGACCGAUAGCAAACAAGUACCGUGAGGGAAAGAUGAAAAGCACCUUGAAAAGGGAGUUAAAAGCAC
rnacentral:rRNA from 1 species